rfam:Aliifodinibius roseus strain DSM 21986 genome assembly, contig: Ga0134108_134
ACGAUGUUCGGCUGUGAUUUUGUAUCAGCAGCAAGAACAUUCG